GCAGCAGCCGCGGUAAUACGGAGGGGGCUAGCGUUGUUCGGAAUUACUGGGCGUAAAGCGCACGUAGGCGGCUUGGUAAGUUAGAGGUGAAAGCCUGGAGCUCAACUCCAGAAUUGCCUUUAAGACUGCCGAGCUAGUAGGUGAGAGAGGUAAGUGGAAUUCCGAGUGUAGAGGUGAAAUUCGUAGAUAUUCGGAAGAACACCAGUGGCGAAGGCGGCUUACUGGCUCAUUCUAGACGCUGAGGUGCGAAAGCGUGGGGAGCAAACAGGAUUAGAGACCCGUGUAGUCCCUGUCUCUUAUAC
rnacentral:rRNA from 1 species